UGUAGUUGGUGCUUGGAGGAGGGAGGCAGCUCCGACAGAUAUUUUGCUGUCAGAUACUAAAACCCGCCUUCUUGCCAUGCUACAGAAGCAGGGGAGAGGUGCUAGGAAGCGGCUGAAGAGGAAGCUGAGCAGCUGUGGAUGUGAGCAUUAUCCAUGACAGCAUUUCCAGUAGAGUGAGUGAGUGACAAGCCUUAACGCGACUGAAAAAAACGAUUGCAAGCUGUCAAUGGCAGAGGGAUGUGGACUGCAGAACUUGCACCAGUGACACAAUCUUUUCCAAAUGUAUCUGUGGGGUUCUGUUGUAAACAAGAAAUUAGAUGAACAAAUCAGGAUGCUGACGAAGGCUCACCAAGCUAAAUGCAUAUUGCAAAGUUAUAAUUAGUAUCUGAUAAUAAAGUGCAGAGAGUAUUUUGUUGUUAUAUAACAUUCAAAAAGAUUUGUUUUUCAGGGAAUUGUGCUCUGCUAUUACAUGCUGUGGAAGAUUGCUGGUGUCCACAGUAUGGAUCUUAUUAUUAACAUUAUUUAACACCAUUCACUGCAAUGUGAGAAUCCAGACAGGCCCAACCCACUGCAGAAUGAUGAUGCUAAUGGUUUUACUAGACCCACCCCACUGCAGUAUGAUAAUGCAAAUGACUUCUCAGAGAUCCUCCCCUUAUUUCAUUGAAAACAUUCUUCUAAAUAAUUCCAAAUGUAAAGACUUGUGUGUUUGUGCAGUGUGUGAAAGUUCCUGUUUUGGGUAGUAUAAUGCUGAUUUCUUUACAUUGAUUGUUGUGCUGGUUGCAAAGCCCCAGUAAUUCAUGGCACAGAUGAAGAAUAGAUAGAUUAAGGGAGUACUUUGAUGAGAGCAAGUUCACUUUUUAACAUUCACCUGCAGAAACUAACAGCCUGGUUUUAUGUCAGUUGCUUAAGGGCUUAUCUGGCCCAAAUGCUUGCUGGUGCUUGUAUUUUGAUUUUAGCAAAAAACGUGUUCUUCAUUUAAUCGCUCAUUAAAUGGCCGAUGCAUUAACCAUACUUAAUCUAGUUCUCUGUGAAAUGGUUCCUUUUUUUCCUAGAUUUUUGAUUGUAUUAUUCUCUGCUUUAAAGCCAGAGUAUAAGUAGAAAAUGUACAGAAAGCUCUCUGAGAGCUAAAUCAUUUAGGAUCUGCAGCUUAGAAAUUAUCUCUCCGUCAUUGACCUUGAAAGGAUGAUAACCAUUUAAGCCAUCAUCUUAUCCUACUAAUUUAGUAAGUAAUAUUUUGGCUAGAUAUCUCAUUGAGGGGCGAAACUAAUAUGAUAAGAGUCUCUCCAUUAAAUGAAAGAACCAAUAAGUGUAAAUCCUCAAAUUGACUUAAUAAAUAAAUGCUGCAUAUGUGGCGACUUAAAGCAUCAUACUAAUUGCACAUAAAAUUUUCAUUGUACACACUAAUUGUUUGAAAUAAAAUAUUCCACUUAA